rnacentral:rRNA from 1 species
UACAGAGGCCUCAAGCGUUGUUCGGAAUCACUGGGCGUAAAGGGUGCGUAGGCGGCGCGGAAAGUCAGGGGUGAAAUCCCGGAGCUCAACUCCGGAACUGCAUUGGAUACUGCCUUGCUAGAGUACUGGAGAGGAAACUGGAAUUUACGGUGUAGCAGUGAAAUGCGUAGAGAUCGUAAGGAAGACCAGUGGCGAAGGCGAGUUUCUGGA